GCGAAGAGCUCAUAGUCAGAAAGUUCUCUGCAGGGCCGGGGAUUUAGCUCAGUGGUUCUGGCACCUGCCUCAAAAGCACAAGGUCCUGAGUUCGAUCCCUGGUACCAAAAAAACCCCAAAAAAACCAGUGCUCUGCAGAGUACAGUGCAUCAUGGAGUCUUUGUGUCUUACCAUGGACACUUGCCCUUUAUGUUGUAGCAGCCAGCUGUGGCCAGAUAAACCCAGGAGGGCAGAAAUUGAAGGAUGGAGAGCCAAGGCUACCUGGAGUCUGGGAGAGGAGAUGCUUACAGGAGGUGGUGGGAUUUAACCUGAAAGGAGACAAAGAG
rnacentral:lncRNA from 1 species